rnacentral:rRNA from 1 species
UACGUAGGGUGCGAGCGUUGUCCGGAAUUAUUGGGCGUAAAGAGCUCGUAGGCGGUGUGUCGCGUCGGCCGUGAAAACCUGGGGCUUAACUCUGGGCGUGCGGUCGAUACGGGCAUCACUAGAGUUCGGCAGGGGAGACUGGAAUUCCUGGUGUAGCGGUGAGAUGCGCAGAUAUCAGGAGGAACACCGGUGGCGAAGGCGGGUCUCUGGGCCGAUACUGACGCUGAGGAGCGAAAGCAUGGGGAGCGAACAGG